rnacentral:rRNA from 1 species
UUUGAGGAAGUAAAAGUCGUAACAAGGUCUCCGUUGGUGAACCAGCGGAGGGAUCAUUACCGAGUUUACAACUCCCAAACCCAAUGUGAACGUUACCAAACUGUUGCCUCGGCGGGAUCUCUGCCCCGGGUGCGUCGCAGCCCCGGACCAAGGCGCCCGCCGGAGGACCAACCAAAACUCUUUUUGUAUACCCCCUCGCGGGUUUUUUAUAAUCUGAGCCUUCUCGGCGCCUCUCGUAGGCGUUUCGAAAAUGAAUCAAAACUUUCAACAACGGAUCUCUUGGUUCUGGCAUCGAUGAAGAACGCAGCGAAAUGCGAUAAGUAAUGUGAAUUGCAGAAUUCAGUGAAUCAUCGAAUCUUUGAACGCACAUUGCGCCCGCCAGUAUUCUGGCGGGCAUGCCUGUCCGAGCGUCAUUUCAACCCUCGAACCCCUCCGGGGGGUCGGCGUUGGGGAUCGGCCCUGCCUCUUGGCGGCGGCCGUCUCCGAAAUACAGUGGCGGUCUCGCCGCAGCCUCUCCUGCGCAGUAGUUUGCACACUCGCAUCGGGAGCGCGGCGCGUCCACAGCCGUUAAACACCCAACUUCUGAAAUGUGACCUCU